rnacentral:piRNA from 1 species
UGGGUGUAUCUGAAGCCUAAAUCAGAGCUU